CUCGAAUCAGGCAGGGAUACCCGCUGAACUUAA
rnacentral:rRNA from 1 species